AGGCAUACCUAGCUGUGCUGUCCUCAGACAAAGCCCACUAAGUCCAUCCUAUAAAAUCACACACCUGAAUGUUCAUGAUAUGCUAGGAUGAACAGUCAAAAGAAAAGAAGAUAUGGAAUCUGCUUGUACCUGGAGAUUAUUAUCUAAACAUGAAGCUGCUUCAAAUUCUCUGGCUUAAUUUUCAUGGAAGAAGCUUACAGGCAAAAAUCAUUGAUCUUUUUUGGUAAGAUGAAGUCCCAAACUUUCAUAACAGGUCCUUCCAACUGCACAGUUUGCCAGUGUCUCAGCUAUACUUGCCUGCCAAGCACUAUGCAAUCUAUACUGUAAAACCAAAGACCUGAAGUAAGUUGAAAUUUCCUUCAAACUCUUAGGUAUUUGCAGGUAAACACUAGAUGUUUAGAGUUCAACUCCUAGCUGAUUGGACCUGAAAACAAAGUAUAACAAGUGCUCAA